rnacentral:rRNA from 1 species
CCUACGGGAGGCAGCAGUAGGGAAUAUUGGUCAAUGGACGAGAGUCUGAACCAGCCAAGUAGCGUGAAGGAUGACUGCCCUAUGGGUUGUAAACUUCUUUUAUAUGGGAAUAAAACGUUCCACGUGUGGGAUUUUGUAUGUACCAUAUGAAUAAGGAUCGGCUAACUCCGUGCCAGCAGCCGCGGUAAUACGGAGGAUCCGAGCGUUAUCCGGAUUUAUUGGGUUUAAAGGGAGCGUAGGUGGAUUGUUAAGUCAGUUGUGAAAGUUUGCGGCUCAACCGUAAAAUUGCAGUUGAAACUGGCAGUCUUGAGUACAGUAGAGGUGGGCGGAAUUCGUGGUGUAGCGGUGAAAUGCUUAGAUAUCACGAAGAACUCCGAUUGCGAAGGCAGUUCACUGGACUGCAACUGACACUGAGGCUCGAAAGUGUGGGUAUCAAACAGGAUUAGAUACCCCAGUAGUC